CAACCCUCAAGCCUGGCUUGGUGUUGGGGCGCUGCUUCUCACAGAAGCAGGCCCUGAAAUUCAGUGGCGAGCUCGCCAGGACUCCGAGCGUAGUAGUUAUAUCUCGUUCUGGAAGGCCUGGCGGUGCCCUGCCGUUAAACCCCAACUUCUGAAA
rnacentral:misc_RNA from 1 species